rnacentral:rRNA from 1 species
CCAAUAGCGUAUAUUAAAGUUGUUGCAGUUAAAAAGCUCGUAGUUGAAUUUCGGGGUUAGUAGGUUGGUCAUGCCUCUGGUAUGUACUGGUCUCACUGAUUCCUCCUUCCUGAUGAGCCGUAAUGCCAUUAAUUUGGUGUUGCGGGGAAUUUGGACUGUUACUUUGAAAAAAUUAGGGUGUUUAAAGCAAGCUAACGCUUGAAUACAUUAGCAUGGAAUAAUGAAAUAGGACGUUCGAUCCUAUUUUGUUGGUUUCUAGGAUUGACGUAAUGAUUAAUAGGGAUAGUUGGGGGCAUUAGUAUUCAAUUGUCAGAGGUGAAAUUCUUGGAUUUAUUGAAGACUAACUACUGCGAAAGCAUUUGCCAAGGAUGUUUUCAUUAAUCAAGAACGAAAGUUAGGGGAUCGAAGACGAUCAGAUACCGUCGUAGUCUUAACCAUAAACUAUGCCGACUAGGGAUCGGAUGAUGUUAAUUUUUUAAUGACUCAUUCGGCGCCUUACG